rnacentral:rRNA from 1 species
GGAAUCUUCCACAAUGGGUGCAAGCCUGAUGGAGCAACGCCGCGUGAGUGAAGAAGGUUUUCGGAUCGUAAAGCUCUGUUGUAAGAGAAGAACGUGUGUGAGAGUGGAAAGUUCACACAGUGACGGUAACUUACCAGAAAGGGACGGCUAACUACGUGCCAG